rnacentral:lncRNA from 1 species
CAUGUGUUCCGCUACCAAAUAUAUGUUCCUCAUUUCUACUUAUUGACCAGGGAGCAGGGUUUCCAGCGUUCUGUUGGGGUAAGAAGGAAAACAAAACAUCAGCAUUGUCGACAUUAUUAUGUCUCAAUAUUUUUUUUAACCUUAAUUUCAUCAAGCAGGUCCCACUGAGAUUAAAAAUCUCUUUUUCAAGGGGUACCUGGCCAAGACAGCAGCAGAAUAACUGCAAUAAAAGACCAGUAAACAAAAACAAACAAUAAUAAAUAUGGAUAGCACAGAUAACUGCAGGGAAUUCAUGACAUUACUUUGGGCAGUAUAACUAAAGUGGUUCCAGUUAUUUGUAUGAAUAUUAUUUUAGGACCUGCACAUCUUACAGUAAUUCAGAUGGUGAAACUGAAUGGUGUAAAUAUUUCAAAUAUUAUGUCACUAUAACACAUUAUUUUCUGUUUUCAUAGCAUACUGAUACAACAGGCAAGCCUCUUGUUUUCAAAUACAUCUUGGUUGCAUGACAAGUAUCAAAGCCCAGAUAAGCCCAUAUAAAUGGUCCAAUUCCUCUCCUGGGCUUGGGACACGUUUCUACUCAGCUGCCAUCUUAGAAAGGAGUCAACUGCUUUCUGAUUCCACAUAAGAAAACAGUUGAGCAUACCUGUCAACACACCCGUUUUUCCCUGGACUCCCUCAUAUUUCAGACCUAUCUCCCACCCACCUCCCAUAUUGUCAUUCCUCCUGGGAAUCUCCCGUAGUUCGCAUGGUCCAUGUUCAUUCAUGAAAAAAGUUUCCAGACAACUGAAGGUAGUCCUGUGUUUCUGCUGAGCCUCAGAGACUCUGGAUUGAUACUUUUACUUUACAAUUUGGGAUGAUUCAGGUCGGUUUAAGCUGUAAACUACAAUGGAUGGGCUCUGAAAUGCUUCAAAUAGCUUUUGAUCUUGCUUUGAUUGUCUGUCCAAAACAAUUUAACAUGAAAACAUGAAAUUCAUGCUUUAAUCAAAUAUGCUUAAUAGAGAGCAUGAGUAAUGAUUAAGACAAAAUACAGUGUGGAAAAGUCCACAUACUACACAUUUCUCUCUCACUCAAAAUGGCGACCGCAGUAGCGUACUCUUCCUGCCAACAGCCGCCUCUCAAACCGAUCAAAGCAGCAACGGUGAAAAUGACAGAGGACUCACUGCACUGUUGUUGACCGUGAUUGUACCACGGCACACAGUAACAUUUACGUGACGCUGCCACGAAUAAUUUUUAAUCACUGGUAAAGAAAUAAUGAUUCACCGCGUGUUUUCGUCUAAGAAUCAUUUUUAAUGAACACUGGACUGUGACGCUAGCUACUGUUUGCCGUGAACUAACGGGCUAGCAAAUACCCGGGUACAACAUACUUUUGUGCUCAGUUUAAAAAGAAAUCCACCCUCCUCAACCCAUGAUUAAUUUGUUAUCAAAUUAACACCAUUGUGCUGCCGUUUUCGAUCAGCAAAUGUAAAACUGUACCGUUAAAAGACGAACAAAGUGGUAAAGAGAGGGCACAGUUUGUCUUACGUGUGUCGAGAACGUUUCAGGAGUGACGUCUUCCUGGCCGGCGUGAUCAAGUCACGUAGCUGUGAGACGUUCAGCGGGCGAGCUACGCAAUCCCUGAACGCCCAUAGGCUGUACCAGGUGUCAAUCAUAGAAAACAUGAACCCCCUAAUAACUUUUAAAAACAGAGCUGUACAGAAAAAAAGGACUUGGGCACAAACCAGUCUUACAAUAACUACAUGUCAACAUCACAACCAUGGGGGAGAAAAAUUUAUGUUCUGUGUAAUAAAUUUCUAAAGUUUGUCCACAGUCCCAUAAGCUUUGCUGGCAGAGGCGGGAUUUAUGACCUGUACUGCAGCCCACCAUCAGAGGGUGCUGUUCUCGGAGUGGCUUCACCCAGCGAGGAGGCAGACUCUGUCCAUUCUUUAUACAGUCUAUGAUGCCAACUCAACACCAAGGUGCAUUCAGGUUCCUGUAUAGUGUAGGAGAUUACAUAAUAUUCUCUCAAAACACAAACCAACCACUUGAAACACCAACAACAGAGAUGACCCCUUCACUGACACAAGAGACCCCUUGAAACCUUUAACUGCGAAAUUUAGGGGGGUCCCUCUUAAACCCUCUACCUACGGCCAUUGUUAAAAAAAGAAGGCUAUUGUGUUGUUUUGCUGCAAUUACAUGAUAUUUAUGUUGUUAAUUCAGAGAAUAAUGGCCGAACAUUUUCAUUAAUAACAUAGCUAUCCCCUAUUCCUGAGAUGAUCAACCCAUUUAGAAAAAUUGUGACAUUUGUUUUCUCUCAAUUGAAUGCAACAUGUUUCAUACUUUGGUGCUAUAAGGCCCCCAAAUGUAGCAUAUGGCUAUUUCAGGCACAUGUGACUGCAACAGGCAUACAAAAUAAUCUGGUUCCUUUUUAUGGCCUUAAGACAAAGAUUUGUAAUUUUUUUCUUAAAUACAGCCAACCAAACAAAUACAGCAAAGAAGACAGAGUGUUUUGAAUAACUUUAUCAAUAAAACAGAUUUAUAAAUAACAUAGAACAAUUAAGAUCAUUAGGAACAUUAACUCGGAACAAUUAGUCAAUGUAAAAGGAAAAAAAAAAUCGAAUUUUAAAAUAUUCAAGACAAGAAAAACAUUAACCUUUUACAAUUGACAAGAACUAAACACUAACAAAUAAUCUAGAAACAUCAAGAAACAAUUUACCUCACUGAAGGAAAAAAAUCAACUACAAAAAAAAGAAAAAUCCUCCUCCCAUGCCACCUUGCCGCCUUCCAUCCUCCCUUCUGCCUCCCC